rnacentral:rRNA from 1 species
AAUGAACGCUGGCGGCGUGCCUAACACAUGCAAGUCGCACGAGAAGGGGGCCUUCGGGUCCCUUGUAAAGUGGCGAACGGGUGAGUAACGCGUAGGUAACCUGACCUCGAGUGUGGAAUAACCUGGCGAAAGCCGGGCUAAUACCGCAUGACGUCUACGGACCUUCGGGACCGGAGACCAAAGGUGGCGAGCUUCGAGCGCUGCCGCUCGAGGAGGGGGCCUGCGUCCCAUUAGCUAGUUGGNGGGGUAACGGGCCCACCAAGGCGACGAUGGGUAGCCGGGCUGAGAGGCUGUCCGGCCACACUGGAACUGAGACACGGUCCAGACUCCUACGGGAGGCAGCAGUGGGGAAUCUUGCGCAAUGGGGGAAACCCUGACGCAGCGACGCCGCGUGGGCGAU